rnacentral:misc_RNA from 1 species
UGUGUGUCCAAUCUAACAUAAAUAUUAAUGAUGAAACUACAUGCCAGAUCAGUUAAACUAAAAAAUAAUGAUCAUACUAAUCAUCUUUAUAAAGAAUAAAGUAUAAUAGAACAAAUCAAUCAACCUAAAUUAUGAACACGAAUUAUUAAACCAUAAAUUAGAUAUUCCCAUCUCUUCUCCUUCUCGUUUCCUGCUCUUUUCUUUCUUCAUGCUAUACCGUAGAAUUUUUAACUGCGAGCUUACUUCAGUCGAUGUUGGGGAUGGCAUACUGAUCUUGGAGAAAUCAAAUGGCUUGUGAUGAAUUGUCAAGUGCCACUUUCCUUUGUCUCUCUUUAGUAAAAUUCUUGUAUGCACUCGGUGUAUACCUAAUCAAUAGAAACUUAACAUUAAUUGGCUCAGUGGAAUCUUCCCUCCUGAGCUAUACAUUAGGCUCAGUUAAAAGAAAGGAGACAAGAAUGGGAAUUUCUAAUUAUAAUUUGUUUAUCAAAUUGUUCAAUGCUUUUUUUAGUGUCUUGCACUGACAAAUAUUAGAAAAAAAUGUAAUUAAUGGAUGCAUUGAUUAAAUUCACUUGGUUAUUAUUUUCUUUUAUUUUGCGGCAGUUCUGGGAAACCAUGAUUACAGG